rnacentral:rRNA from 1 species
GAUGAACGCUAGCGGGAGGCUUAACACAUGCAAGUCGAGCGGUAUUGACCUUCGGGUCGAGAGAGCGGCGCACGGGUGCGUAACGCGUAUGCAACCUGCCUUAUGCAGGGGGAUAGCCCGGGGAAACCCGGAUUAAUACUCCAUAGAUCAGUAGUAUCGCAUGGUACAAUUGGUAAAGAUUUAUCGGCAUAAGAUGGGCAUGCGUCUGAUUAGCUAGUUGGUAGGGUAAUGGCCUACCAAGGCGACGAUCAGUAGGGGUUCUGAGAGGAUAAACCCCCACACUGGUACUGAGACACGGACCAGACUCCUACGGGAGGCAGCAGUGAGGAAUAUUGGUCAAUGGGCGCAAGCCUGAACCAGCCAUCCCGCGUGAAGGAUGAAUGCCUUAUGGGUCGUAAACUUCUUUUGUACCUGAAGAAACUCUGGGUCGUGACCUGGACUGCCGGUAGGGUACGAAUAAGCAUCGGCUAACUCCGUGCCAGCCGCCGCGGUAAGAC